CAGCAGUAACUGGACCAAGUCAUCCUUCGGUCCGACCUUUACACCUACAUUCCACCGCGUCUUUCCAGAUGUUUCUAGGCUUUUGAGAUGAGAUUUCUCCUACCCUUUAUAUACCUCUCCUCUCUCCCUCUCUCAAGUAUCGAAUCCAAGCAAGAAAUCCUUCUCCUUCAAGAAACCUAAGAGGAAAUCCCUUGUCUUGAAACCUCAAAAACAAGCCUGUUUUGAGCCCCAGAAGACGAUCUUUAAUUGCUUGCAUAGUUGUUGUAACAUAUACGAAAGAAAGUAAACACAGCCCACUUCUUUGAUCCAAGUUUCAAUCACGAUGAUGUCUAUGUUCAGUUCAUUUGAUGCCCUAUGCGCAGAAUCACUUGUGCAGAAGCUCGGGUUCUCAUCCAGAGCUUCCAAAGAAGGGAACACCGAGCCACAGGUUGAGUCCAUGAAGAAGAGAGAGAUGUCUGAAGGGAGCGAUGACAAGUCUUCAACAUCAUCGUCAAAAUCAUCUCCUGUGAACAUUAGCAAGCCAUUACAGCAACAAAAGAUGAGAAUAAGGUUUGCUCCGGAGUUAGAUGGUGUGCACUGUUUUGAGACCAUGAUUACUUAUUGAGCUUUCUUUCAGUUUUUCACUAACUAAUUUUGUGUGUGUGUAUAUUUAUUUAUUUAUUGCGGGUGAUUCAUGUAAUGUAAUCAACAUUUUGCAGUUACAAGACUCAUUUUUCCCUCUUAAUUUGUAGAUUUAACACCAUUAAUUUAAUUAAAUUCAAGUUUCUUUAUAGGCAAAACCGCAACCAAGUCUCGUAUUUGUUUUUUUUAUGAAUGAAUAAUUUCACCAGCCAAGAAGGUAAAGAAUAAAAAAAAAAAUGGAAUUACUGUGAUAGCUUGUUGAUUGCUCUGAUGAUGGCCUCCACCCUCCGAUGAAACUUAGGACGCCAAGUAAGGAAUAAUUUGGUAUGGUGCCUGAAAGUCCAUCCACUUGAACAAAUACCCUUGAUUUCUUGCAUGAUAAGGUCAUAUGCAAGCAGCUGUCCACUGCUAUUUCCGUCAAAGAACUUGCCGUAACCAUAAGAAUCUCUGGCCAUUAAUUCCGAUUUCCAUUUCAUCAAUUACUUUGAACACUGAAAAAAAGUUCAGAAGAAGGGAAGAUUGAAGUUUUCAAUACUUGCAAGAAACUAUCAUGUUUUAAAUGCCAUCAGCACACGUACGUACCUAUGCUUUCUUGAUGUAUCUUUCUUGUUUACCAAGCGGCACAUCUCUUGUUCUUAUCUCAUAUUUCUAAUUAAAAAUCUUUCUAGCAUAAUAUUCCUUAAGGCAUUCAAGACAUUGACCGUCUAUAAUAUCUCAUGUUUUUCAUAUCUCUAAAUGUUGUUUAAUUUUUCUCAAAAAUAAAAAAGGCCAUAGCUUGCCAAAUUUUCCAUAGAUCAUAAAAUAUUCACAUUGUUUUGUUUUGUUUUUUUAAAAAAGUUAAACUAGGGGCAGUGUGACUAGUGAGACGAGGUCAACUUUUAUCCUUGUUUGUUCAUUGAAAAAGUAAAUUAUUUUAUUAUAUUUGAUAAUGUCAAAAUAAUUUAUUAAUAUUUAAUUUUUUUUUAAUUUUAUUAGAAAAAUAAGGAUAAAAAAUGUCUGAUUAUAAAGUUAAAGGGUGAUGAAAUUGAAAAAAUAAUUAAUUUUAUAAAUUAUUUCAAAUUAAAAAAUAACAGUAAAAAAAAAAUAAAAACCAAAUUUGACAGAUGAAGAAGUUGAAGGAGGAUGGAAUUGAAAAAAAAUCAAUUUCAUAAAUUAUUUCAAAUAAAUAAAUAACAAUAAAAAGAAUAGGGGCCAAAUCUAAUAGAUAAAAAAAAUUUCAAUUAAGAAAAUGAUAAGAAAAAAAUAAUAAUAAAAAGAAUAAAGACCAAAAUUGAUACAAAAAUCAAAUCAAAUCAAAUUUCAAAUGAAAAAAUUGAAAAAUAAUUAUUCAAAACAAAAUAUAUAUUAAUUAAAAGAUUAAGAACUAAAUUUGAUAUAAUUAACAAAUAAUUUGAUAUUCUUAAUUUUUUUGCAGCUUCUGAAAAAUGAAAUGUUAUUCAUAAACUAACUUUUUAAAUGACAAAUAAAUAUAAAAAAUUUUGAAAAAUAAUUUUCAAAAAAUUAUUUUUCAUAAAAUAAGCAGAACCCUAGUUUAAUUUAUUUAAACUCAUAUUAUACUAGGAAGUCACAGGCCCAAACGUCCAAGUUUAAUAUUAGUGAAGACACCUUUGAAUUGAGACUAAAUCUUUGAUCUUAUUUGGAUGCAGAUGAAGAUUAAGAUGCAUUUAUAAACAUAAAAUAUUGACCAUUAAACGGGUAUGAGUAUGAUUCAAACCCAAGUCAUACGUGAGGGCAAGAAAUACAUUUAUCUGUCUUUUUUAAACAUGUUUCUAACAAGUAAUCAUGAGCUUAAUGUUAUUGAAAAACUUAUGUUUAGAAAAUUAUCACAACUAUUAGAUCAAUUAAUUGAAUUUGGGGGAGUCUUGACGUGAUGAAAAUAGACAAGAUGCAUGCUCUUUUUUCAUGAGGGCAAGUUGCUCGCAAGAUAAGAGAUUAGCAAAGUGGGCUCUCCUUCUAUUCUCAGGAGGAAACUAUGUCCAAUGGAAUAGGUAACUUAGAAAUUGGAUAGGAUUGUCCUUUUCAUCUCUACCCCAAAUGAAUGCUCAUGAAAUCAAAGCCAUAAAUAGAGCCUAAUAUACUAUAAAUUCAAGAAGGUGAAGAGGGAAGGAAGGCUAGGUCCUUUGUCACAUAGAAAUUUCCAGUUUAGGUUUUUUUGUUUUUUAGUUUUUCCUAGUCAUGAUAGUACCAUAAGAGAGUCUUUGUAUUCCUUUCUUUCUUGCCCUACUUUUCUUGCCUUUCUUUCCUCUCUUUAUCACUCUUUACUUCUCUUCACUAGCAAGCUAUCUCAAAUUCCUUUGCUAUUGCUUUACCCCCUCCUUGGCGUUUCUCCAUAUAAAAUCAAGUUAUUUCAUUAGAGGCCAUUGUCUCCAAGAAUAACAUAGAAGAAUGGCAAUGGGUGCAAUGUCUGUGACAGUAACAGGUGUUGUUGCUGCAGCUGGGAUUUAUUUCUUCGACAAAAGCCACACCAAAGCUCAGGAGCUGGGAAGCAGAAUGAGAUCAUCUAGUGAAAACAUGGUGGCAAAAGUGAAGAAGACCAGUGAAACGCCAAAAUUAGUACCCCAACUGGAUGGAUUAAACUGUUUUGAAACAUUAAUAUGUCAUUGAUUCUGCUUGGUCUACGUGGUUAAUUAUCUCCAACACUGCCUUGCAGAGGUUGUUAUUAAUGAUAAACCAUGGACAUCACAUUCUUUCUCCAAAACAUUACUUGCUGCUUCUGUUGUAGCUAGUCAUGCAUUGAUUAGACAUUACUAAGGAAAAAUGCUACAAUUUUUAGUCUAAACUUUUGCUGAUUAUGAUUUAUUUGUUAAUUCCUAUGGCAUGAAAUGAAAGAGGUUGAAUUGGAGGAAA